ensembl:lncRNA
UUUUUUUUCAGAGAAGCAUAGUAGAAGGCCAAACGUGGUUACCAAACCUCAGCAUUAUUGAUUUCUGCCCUUUGUACAGCAAAUCAUAUAUUCUUCCACUGUGCAGAAGUGGACAUAAAGGCGCAGGAGUAGCAGAGAUUGAAGCAGAAUAAAGUUUAUCUGUUUUCAAUCUGAAUAUUCCUGGAGUACUUGCUGCCAUUCAGAUGGAGAGGUCAUGUUCGUCAGGGCGCAGCAGCUCUCCUUACCUUUCUCCUUCCUCCCAAUGAGACCUUUGCAGAGGAGAGCAGUCUGUCCCCCUCACCUUGGAGGCUGGCACCAAAAUUUUCCUCUGUUCAUGCCUCUCAGGUCAGGCCCAACAUUAAAACUCUGACAGAAUCUGGUGACAGAGCUUUUCACCCUGGUUCAACCAGCUGCAGUGAUGUCUCUGCAUUUUGCCUGGGUUCUGAGUGUUUCAGGCUCUAAUUUCUUUUCCAACAUGAGGCUUUCAAAUGCACAGUGCCUCAAGACUUCAGUACCUGAAUUUCUUGCUGGAUCUGGUCCACAGUGCUACUCUUUGCUAUACCAAAGUACUGAGAUAGCAACAGUUUGUGAGGAGCCUCUACUCUGUGAUAAAAAAUGUAACCAGGAGUUUUAUACAGAAAACAUGUCAGUACAUCUUAGCUGCCAUCAUUCCACCAGGUGAUGCAGUGUGUGUUCUUAUUAGCUAGCACUAAAGAAAGCUUCAUCUCUCUCUCUCUCUCUCACUGAAGUAACCAGAAGGUCUUCUACUGACUAUAAAAGGUGUUCCUAGGGACAUCUUUGGCUUAAAUUAAGCCUGAAGGUAAAAGGGAGAAUAUCAUCUCAUCUAUCUCACCAGUUCCCAGUAUUAGAAAGUAGCAACUGUUCUCCCAAAUUUAAAUUGGAAAAAAAAAAAAAAAAGAAAGGGUUAAAUUCUGUUUUUCAUGCUACCUUACUGCAUUUCUAACUUUACCUUAUCUCUUGUCAGUCGUCACAUGUAUCUGGUAGCAGUCCUGGGAGGCUGUGGGAAGGAGUACCUUUUGGCCAUCUUACUGUUUCAUCUGAUGAAACUAAAAUGACAAUGGAUCAACAGUAAGAUCCCGAACUGAAGAGACAGAAGCCAAAACAUUAUUUAGCUGAGUCCUUGACAUGUCAGUGCUCAUUUUCUUUUCCAGUAGGUUGCAACUUCAUGUAGUGUUAAACCAUCUAUAAUCAGUAAUUAAUAGAGGGAAUACAUAAUCACUAGCAAGUGACAAUAGAGGUUGAUGUCAUCAUCAGUUUAUGCAACCAGAAUUUCAUAACUACAAUAACCAAAUUCCCUCUCUCUGCCUCAUCCCUGUUACAUCAAGCUUGUUGUAGAUUGUAGAGCAUGAAACAACAUGGUUUCAAUGAAUGCUCUAUCACUAUCCCUGCACCGCAAAAAUUAAUAAUAUUUUUGUUUGUUAUUUGACUGGCCUAGAUGGACAGGCGGAUUAUUUGAUCCAUGCUUUCAUAGAAUCACUCAGGUUGGAAAAGACUUUAAAGAUAAUCGAGUCCAACCAUGACCUAACCAUACUACCCUAACAACCCUCUGCUAAAUCAUGUCCCUGAGCACCACAUCCAAAUGGUUUUUAAACACAUCCAGGGAUGGGGACUCAACCGCUUCCCUGGGGAGCCUAUUCCAGUGCUUAACAACCCUUUCUGUGACGAAAUGUUUCCUGAUAUCCAACCUAAACUUACCCUGGCACAAAGUGAGGCCAUUUCCCUUCACCCUGUCACCAGUGAGAAGACACCAACCCUGCUCUUGCUGUAAGCACGUUUCAGAUAUUGGAAGAGAGCAGUAAGGUCUCUCCUCAGCCUCCUUCUCCCCAGACUAAACAGCCCCAGUUCCCUCAGCCUCUCCUCAUAGGGCAUAUUGUCCAAGCCUUUCACAAGCCUUGUUGCCAUUCUUUGGACCUGCUCCAGCACCUCAGUGUCCUUUCUGUACUGAGGUGCCCAAAACUGAACACAGUACUCAAGGUGAGGCCCUCAAUUACUUCCCUAGUCCUGCUCACCACAUCAUUCCUGAUACAAUAACAGGUGAGUUUGCCUUCCUAAGCAGUGCUUGACAAGUUAGUGUUCUUGUCUUGAAGUGUUUUUACAGUGCUUUCAGGAACAGUGCUCUAUGGUUGUAAUUCAUACCAAAUGUCUUGAACAAAACCUUUUGGCUCCUAACCGCAGAGGCAAGCAGCUUCUUGUGUGCCUUUAUAUUUGUUGUUUUAGUACCAGUAUUUUGUAAAUCCUCUUCAGGUUGAUUUUAAAAUGGAUUUGAGUAUGUAUCCAAUAAUUAUCUGAGUGUGUCCUUCUGGAAACAUGUUGAAAAGUUCAUGUGAUUUUGGUGCCUGUGAGAGGAUCUAAGAGGAUGGAAGCUCUGAUAUCGGUACCAUCAAGCAAAAGGUGUGACUAAAAUAGCUUCACAGAUCAUCUUUGGAAGUGAUAAUUUAGAUUGUUUGUCAGUUCUGACCAUUCUACAAUUUAUCUAUGCCUAUAUUCCCUUGCUGCUAAUAGGAUUACUCACACAAGUACUUCAAUGGCACUUUAGCCUUAAGCAGCUGGCCUCCACGCUAAUAUACAAGUGAGCGUGUCAGCUACUACUGACUGUGAUGCAGAGAACAAAUUAACCAACAACUGGACUGACUCUGCUUUCAGCCAUAGAUAACUGAAAUCUAUUUUAAUCAUUUCAGUCACAGAGAAAGUAUGUUUUAAAUGUGUUGUGUCAAAACAUCCUAAACAGUGACAUGUAAUCUAAGGCACACAUUUUGUUCUUGAUUACAUUUGCAAAUUCAACCUCAGUUCUUUCAAGGCAUUUUGAAUUUAAAGUAAUAUUGUUAAAUGCUUAUGUUCUUAGUACUUAACUUCAGCACUGCCGCAGGAAUAUGCAAUAUGGGACGUCAGUAUGGUAACUCAUUUAUUUACUGAAUAUUCUGUCUUAACAAUGACAAAUUUUACAGAUCUGACUCCCCUCAGGAGAUUUCAGUAUUUUCCAACAUGUAAUAGCAGGAGAUGAGGAGAUUUAAAAAAAAAAAAAAA